rnacentral:rRNA from 1 species
GAUGUGCCCAGAUGGGAUUAGCUAGUAGGUGGGGUAAUGGCUCACCUAGGCGACGAUCCCUAGCUGGUCUGAGAGGAUGACCAGCCACACCGGAACUGAGACACGGUCCAGACUCCUACGGGAGGCAGCAGUGGGGAAUAUUGCACAAUGGGCGCAAGCCUGAUGCAGCCAUGCCGCGUGUAUGAAGAAGGCCUUCGGGUUGUAAAGUACUUUCAGCGGGGAGGAAGGUGUUGAGGUUAAUAACCUCAGCAAUUGACGUUACCCGCAGAAGAAGCACCGGCUAACUUCGUGCCAGCAGCCGCGGUAAUACGAAGGGGGCUAGCGUUGUUCGGAAUUACUGGGCGUAAAGCGCACGUAGGCGGAUAUUUAAGUCAGGGGUGAAAUCCCGGGGCUCAACCCCGGAACUGCCUUUGAUACUGGGUAUCUUGAGUGUGGUAGAGGUGAGUGGAAUUGCGAGUGUAGAGGUGAAAUUCGUAGAUAUUCGCAGGAACACCAGUGGCGAAGGCGGCUCACUGGACCACAACUGACGCUGAGGUGCGAAAG